rnacentral:rRNA from 1 species
UAAGGAAUAUUGCGCAAUGGGCGAAAGCCUGACGCAGCGACGCCGCGUGGGGGAUGAAGGUCUUCGGAUUGUAAACCCCUUUCGGGAGGGAAGAUGGAACGAGCAAUCGUUCGGACGGUACCUCCAGAAGCAGCCACGGCUAACUUCGUGCCAGCAGCCGCGGUAAUACGAAGGUGGCAAGCGUUGUUCGGAUUCACUGGGCGUACAGGGAGCGUAGGCGGUUGGGUAAGCCCUCCGUGAAAUCUCCGGGCCUAACCCGGAAAGUGCAGAGGGGACUGCUCAGCUAGAGGAUGGGAGAGGAGCGCGGAAUUCCCGGUGUAGCGGUGAAAUGCGUAGAGAUCGGGAGGAAGGCCGGUGGCGAAGGCGGCGCUCUGGAACAUUUCUGACGCUGAGGCUCGAAAGCGUGGGGAGCAAACA